GACGAACGCUGGCGGCGUGCUUAACACAUGCAAGUCGAACGAUGAAGCCUAGCUUGCUAGGUGGAUUAGUGGCGAACGGGUGAGUAAUACGUGAGUAACCUACCUUUAACUCUGGGAUAAGCCCGGGAAACUGGGUCUAAUACCGGAUACGACCAAUCUCCGCAUGGGGUGUUGGUGGAAAGCGUUAUGUAGUGGUUAUAGAUGGGCUCACGGCCUAUCAGCUUGUUGGUGAGGUAACGGCUCACCAAGGCGACGACGGGUAGCCGGCCUGAGAGGGUGACCGGCCACACUGGGACUGAGACACGGCCCAGACUCCUACGGGAGGCAGCAGUGGGGAAUAUUGCACAAUGGGCGCAAGCCUGAUGCAGCGACGCCGCGUGAGGGAUGACGGCCUUCGGGUUGUAAACCUCUGUUAGCAGGGAAGAAGAGAGAUUGACGGUACCUGCAGAGAAAGCGCCGGCUAACUACGUGCCAGCAGCCGCGGUAAUACGUAGGGCGCGAGCGUUGUCCGGAAUUAUUGGGCGUAAAGAGCUUGUAGGCGGUUUGUCGCGUCUGCUGUGAAGGCCGGGGCUUAACUCCGUGUAUUGCAGUGGGUACGGGCAGACUAGAGUGCAGUAGGGGAGACUGGAAUUCCUGGUGUAGCGGUGGAAUGCGCAGAUAUCAGGAGGAACACCGAUGGCGAAGGCAGGUCUCUGGGCUGUAACUGACGCUGAGAAGCGAAAGCAUGGGGAGCGAACAGGAUUAGAUACCCUGGUAGUCCAUGCCGUAAACGUUGGGCACUAGGUGUGGGGAACAUUCCACGUUUUCCGCGCCGUAGCUAACGCAUUAAGUGCCCCGCCUGGGGAGUACGGCCGCAAGGCUAAAACUCAAAGAAAUUGACGGGGGCCCGCACAAGCGGCGGAGCAUGCGGAUUAAUUCGAUGCAACGCGAAGAACCUUACCAAGGCUUGACAUAUACUGGACCGCAUCAGAGAUGGUGUUUCCCUUCGGGGCUGGUAUACAGGUGGUGCAUGGUUGUCGUCAGCUCGUGUCGUGAGAUGUUGGGUUAAGUCCCGCAACGAGCGCAACCCUCGUUCUAUGUUGCCAGCACGUAAUGGUGGGGACUCAUAGGAGACUGCCGGGGUCAACUCGGAGGAAGGUGGGGAUGACGUCAAAUCAUCAUGCCCCUUAUGUCUUGGGCUUCACGCAUGCUACAAUGGCCGGUACAGAGGGUUGCGAUACUGUGAGGUGGAGCUAAUCCCUAAAAGCCGGUCUCAGUUCGGAUUGGGGUCUGCAACUCGACCCCAUGAAGUCGGAGUCGCUAGUAAUCGCAGAUCAGCAACGCUGCGGUGAAUACGUUCCCGGGCCU
rnacentral:rRNA from 1 species